rnacentral:rRNA from 1 species
UACACACCGCCCGUCACACCAUGGGAGUGGGUUUCACCAGAAGCCGGUAGCUUAACCCGCGAGGGGGAGCGCCUACCACGGUGAGAUUCAUGACUGGGGUG